GGCACCAUGGCUUAGCUGGCUUAAAGCACCUGCCUAGUAAACAGGGGGUCCUGGGUUCAACUCCCAGUGGUGCCU
rfam:Chelonia mydas contig150469, whole genome shotgun sequence.